GACAGAGGGUGCAAACGUUGUUCGGAAUUACUGGGCGUAAAGCGAGUGUAGGCGGUCUCAUAAGUCGGGUGUGAAAGCCCUGGGCUCAACCCAGGAAGUGCACUCGAUACUGCGAGGCUAGAGUAUCGGAGAGGUUGGUGGAAUUCUCGGUGUAGAGGUGAAAUUCGUAGAUAUUAGGAAGAACACCAGUGGCGAAGGCGGCUCACUGGCCCGGUACUGACGCUGAGGCGCGAAAGCGUGGGGAGCAAACAGG
rnacentral:rRNA from 1 species